rnacentral:rRNA from 1 species
GACGAACGCUGGCGGCGUGCUUAACACAUGCAAGUCGAACGGAAAGGCCCUGCUUUUGUGGGGUGCUCGAGUGGCGAACGGGUGAGUAACACGUGAGUAACCUGCCCUUGACUUUGGGAUAACUUCAGGAAACUGGGGCUAAUACCGGAUAGGAGCUCCUGCUGCAUGGUGGGGGUUGGAAAGUUUCGGCGGUUGGGGAUGGACUCGCGGCUUAUCAGCUUGUUGGUGGGGUAGUUGCUUACCAAGGCUUUGACGGGUAGCCGGCCUGAGAGGGUGACCGGCCACAGUGGGACUGAGAUACGGCCCAGACUCCUACGGGAGGCAGCAGGGGGGAAUAUUGCACAAUGGGCGGAAGCCUGAUGCAGCAACGCCGCGUGCGGGAUGACGGCCUUCGGGUUGUAAACCGCUUUCGCCUGUGACGAAGCGUGAGUGACGGUAAUGGGUAAAGAAGCACCGGCUAACUACGUG